UUCAUUUUCUCUCUUCUUCUUCUCAAAAACACUCUCCAAAACCUCUCAAAAACACUCUCCAAAACCUAACAAUAUCUCCCCUCUUCUCCAUUGAUUUCUGAAGCAGCUCAACAUGAUUCGAUUCUAAAGUUGAUUCUCAAGAUGGCAGCAAGAUCAAGAGUGACAAGAUCCGGCCGAUUAAACCCUGAUUUUGAAGCUGGGCAAGUUAUUGAUGUUCCUUUUAAUGGAGAUGUGGUAAACCAAUCUGUUCAAACACCUGCGAAUCCUCCACAAAUGACUCCUACUAGGUCAAGCGAGCUAAGUGGAUUGUCAGGGGACUGAUCCGUAACAUUGAGGAGGUUUUAUAUUUGGAUUGCGACCAACAAAAAACACUGCUUCUCAGGAUUCAGGAGUUACAUAAUCCAGCGAAGAAUGAUCUCUAUACUAACGACGAGGAUGAUUGGAUGAGUGGUUCCCAAACUCCCCACAGUUCUUCAUCAUCUUCUAAGGAUGUUCCUAAGAUUUUUGGUCGUAGUGGAUGAUUUUUUUAUGUACUUGUUUAAGUCAUUCCAGCUUUUCAUUAUGCAGACUUACUUUUAGCAUGUUUUAGGUUAUGGAUUUGGGUGAUUUCGUUUGUUUUAAGUAAUGGGAUAUCAAUUUACCUUGAAUAAUUGGAUACUGGUGUUUUGAUUAUUAAUUUA